rnacentral:ncRNA from 1 species
UAUUCCUCCCUUAUCCUCACGUCCCCGUGUAGCCCUUCGUGUUGCCACUGACCGACCGCCUUUCGCGGUCGGUUUUUUU